UCGAUAACCUCCUUGGGCCCGCUUGGUGCUGAGCAUAGCACUGGCCUUGGCAGCCACUUCUGGGAUGGCAUAGUGAGCCUCUAGGAGCUGCCCGGUACCCUCCAGAAGUACUCCCAUGUUCUUGUGGAAGGCUAGCACUUCUUCAGCCUUCUCCAGUGCAUCCUCAGCCAGCACUAUGGCAUCAGGAACAACUCCUCCACCCAUCCAGCUUUCCCCAUGGUUGUCAAUGAAGGUGAUAACAGGAACUGUGAUAGUCAGGCCACGGGUUAUUCCUGGCCCGGGCUGCAGCAGAGGGAAGGUACGGGUGUGUGAGAGGCUUCCUGCUGUGAUCUCACCGAUCAGGGUGGCACGGCCCAGGGACUGCAUGAGGUAAGCAAACUCCUCAGCAGCUGUAGCAGUGUGGUGGCUGGUGAGCAGGUAGAUGCCACGCUUAGCCCCAUAGGACUGGCCCAGCAAUUCUGCCUGACUGUUGUGCUCCUGGGUACGGUUGGUGCGUCUGUCAUAAGUUGUGAAGAGAUGGACAGGACCAGCAGCGGGGUCUUGGAAAUAGGAGAGUAGCACAGGCACAGCAGAAGAGGAAGGGCCUCCAAGGUUGUAACGUAGGUCCAUGAUCAAGUUCUCUGUAUUUUGAAGGGGUUCCCACACUUUGUGCACAAUGUAAGGCCCCAGCUUUACAAGCACAGAGGCAUCUGCAAAUUCAUCAAAGCGCAUGUAGCCAACAUUGCCUGGCAACACUGACACCUUGAAGACGGUAUCCACCAAGGCAUGCAGCAGCUGCUCGUUGUCAGUUUGAGCUGCAAAGGACUGUUCAUACAUUCUAUGACUAAGGGCUCCAAACAAGGAACUCCAGACAUUUAGCACAGCUCAUAAAAUCCAAGUUCUCGUGAGCAGCUGACCCCACCGUUCCCCAUCAGACUCAUGCAGAUAUUUGGUCACUGACAAGCUGCAGUAGCAGGAGGCUCAUCUGAAGGUGGCAGCAAGAACACCUUUUUCACUGGCAGAGAUGCCAACGGGAUAAACGUGAAAGUUGGAACGACUUUUGGUUUUAGUAAAGCCUUUAAUACAGCCAUUUUUUAAAUUAUGUGUAUGAAUAAGAAUUAAUUUAAAGGUGAUAGAUGGCUUCCAAAUACUGAGAGGCAGAAUUUAUUAACUGAAGCACAGGACUAUGCUAAUGAAAUAUUUAAUGUUUCCAGGACUUCAAUAAGUAUUUCUAGACAAACCUUCACUGCCUUUUAUAGAUGUACAAGUCUGGGUCAGUACUACUUCACAGCUGUCUGUGACAGGCAUGACUGGAUUGCAUAGGUAUGGUCUAAGACUGUCUGUUCUGUUCUUGUACUGUUUGGUACAAAGGAAAACUUGUUCCUGAGUAGGCUUUCUAGGCCCCUGAGAAAUAAAAAGAAUUAAUAAUAACACCCUUAGAUUCCUUUCUAAUUCCCAUGCCAAAAGAAGUAAUGUUAGAUUUUUGUCCCAAGGUUAUUCAGUUUUUACACCAUACAAACCUGUACAGAUUAAAAUUA